GCUUCACACAUGCAAGUCGAACGAGGUAGCAAUACCUAGUGGCGGACGGGUGUAGUAACGCGUGGGAAUCUGCCUUUAGAUGGGGGAUAACGGGUCGAAAGACUCGCUAAUACCGCAUAUGACGAAAGUUGAAAGGAGUAAUCCGUCUAAAGAUGAGCCCGCGUCCGAUUAGCUAGUUGGUAGAGUAAAAGCCUACCAAGGCGACGAUCGGUAGCUGGUCUGAGAGGAUGAUCAGCCACAAUGGGACUGAGACACGGCCCAUACUCCUACGGGAGGCAGCAGUGGGAAUUUUACGCAAUGGGCGAAAGCCUGACGUAGCGACACCGCGUGAGCGAAGAAGCCCCUUGGGGUGUAAAGCUCUGUCAGCUGGAACGAAAAAAAUGACGGUACCAGCAGAGGAAGCAUCGGCUAACUACGUG
rnacentral:rRNA from 1 species